rnacentral:lncRNA from 1 species
GAGUCACGAUUCCAUUUACUUUGUGUUGCCCUCCGGGUUUUUCUGGUUCGGUUCGAUUUGGAACGGAAAUCCGGUUUCAAUUUCCUCAAAAAUCAAGCCCUAAAUUCAUUUGUUGUGUCUUGUGUGUGCCGCCUGCUGCUCUUACGAAAAAAAAUCAAAGAAGCCGCCGUCGCCCGUAGCUCGUCUGAUCUCUGUCGAUUCUCGACGGUUGCAAUCGUCCGUCACCAGCCAGCAAGUGCGUCACUGUGUACUUGACCUUAGUCGUCGUAUCUGUCUCUCCCUCGCCGAUCUUCUGGCUCAAAGUCUUCGCCCUGAAUCGGAGAAAGUCGUCGACUCGUCGUUCCCGUCUUCCCGAAUCGAAGGCUGCUGUCCGUCCCUCUUCCCUGCAUCUCCUCCGGCUCGAAGUCGUAGACUUGCCGUUCCCGAAUCGAAGGCUGUUGUCCGCCCCUCUCCCUGCUUGGUCGUAGAAGUGUUGGCCCUUGGGUGAUUGGAUUUGGAAGGUAAUGUCACUUGGGACCUGUUUUAUUUGAUUAUUUCAUUGAAGUUUGGGAGUUGGGACCUGCUUGCCUUGAUUCUUCAAUUCUGCCUCUUGUCCAGUAAUGUAAUAAAUUGCAGUUUUAGUUUCAAUUGGGCAAGGUGAUCAUUUCAAGCAGUAGCAACUAGCAAGAAACCAGCAAAGAAAAAGUCAAAUGCACCGGAUAAUAGAAGCGAUCCGGGUUGGCAACAUGCCCUAGAUGUUGAUGGCACAUUAAGGAAAACCAAAGAAGAGCAUGGAGAUGAUGAAGAUGAAGAUUUAAAUUUUAAUGUUAGAUCUCACGGAUUUGAUGUAAUGUUAUUGUCUAUUUGUGUUUGAAGUAGUAUAUUUGUUCAGAUUUAAGAUAAUUAAUUUAUAGAGGAUAAUGUAUGGAUGAAAAUAAGUUUUUGGGAUUGAUUAUUAUAUUUAAUUUGAGUCUGGAUAAUGAAUUUAUGUAUUUAUGUUAGGGUGGAUGGUCAAAUAUUUAGUCUUAUAGAAAAAUUGUGAAAUCUUAC